rnacentral:lncRNA from 1 species
CCCCGCCAGCGGCCUGGGCGCCCGCCCCUCACGCUUCUAGGGUAGCCGGCCGCGGGCGCCCGGGCGCCCGCGCGUCUGCCAGAGCGGCGAGCGCAGCCCCGACGCCGCGCCCACUGUCGGCGCGGCUCCGCCUCCGCCCCGUGAUUCCGCGCGGCCGGCUCCAGGGCGGGCGGAUGGGAGGGGGCCUGUGCGCGGGGGGCGCGCCAGGCUCCCUCUCUGAGCCGGCUGCCAGCUGCAGAUGGUGCGGGGGCUGGAGGAGGGGGCGCGGCUUUAGCCUCAGCUUCCCGAACAGGCCCCUGAGUGGGACCGGAAGCUGGGGCGGUCCUCCCGAGCCCGGGGUCACGGCCAAGGGGGCGGUGCCAGAGGAAGAUCCCUUUUUAGGGCUUGUUCUGGUAGUUUUCAACCUACUCUUUCAAAGGGACGUUUUCUGGAUGAAAACAGAAAGUUGCUCCACUGGCCAUGGGAAGCUCGCUCAGAGGAGAAAUGGGGCAAGACCCAGGAGUGCUGUAAUGAUGACGUUCCUUCACACCCGUCCCAGCAAUCCGACAUCCCUGAGGAAUGCGGGUAUCUAGUGCCCGGCUUCCUAACCUCCAGAGAAUGAAUCUGCCGGGAGGCAUAUAUCCUACGCUCUAUUUCAAGGUCGCUGCAGAAGAGUUCUGAUUGUCCGCAGCUGCAACUUACUCCUUUCUGCAUCUUCUCUUGUUAGGUUCCCUCCUUUUCCGGUUUACUAUCCCACCUGUCUUGGGGUCACUUUCGCAGUAAACCUCAAAUCGUUAUACCAGGACUACCUUUUUAGAGAACUCAGGCCAAAACGUUGUGGCUGCUUCUCUUCACAGCCAGUCAUCUUGAAAGUGAUACCUACUUUCAGCAUGCCUGGGUCCUUUCACCCUCCUGCACCACCCACUCUCCCCUACAGGCCCGCUACUCUCUCUGCUGUGAAUUUCAUUAGGAACUCCUGUAACCUCUGUAUUUGCAAAUACAGUAGAUACUUUUCUCCUUUUUUAUCCCCACCCAUAUUUUGUAGUGAACAUCAUUUUUGGUAUUGUUUUGUCCAGCAGCACCCCUUAUCCCCUUUUCUUAAUAAUAAAACUCAUCUUUCCCCU